rnacentral:rRNA from 1 species
UCAGACUCGCGGCACCGAGCUCAGUAACACGUGGCCAAACUACCCUACAGAGACGGAUACCCUCGGGAAACUGAGGUUAACCCGUCAUACCGAUCUCAGGCUUGAAUCGCAGAGAUCACAAAACGCCCCGGCGCUGUAGGAUGUGGCUGCGGUUGAUUAGGUAGACGGUGGGGUAACGGCCCACCGUGCCCAUAAUCAGUACAGGUUGUGAGAGCAAGAACCUGGAGACGGAAUCUGAGACAAGAUUCCGGGCCCUACGGGGCGCAGCAGGCGCGAAACCUUUACACUGCACGCCAGUGCGAUAAGGGGACCCCAAGUGCGCAGGCAUAGUGCCUGCGCUUUUCUGGACUGUAGGGCGGUCCAGGAACAAGGGCUGGGCAAGACCGGUGCCAGCCGCCGCGGUAAUACCGGCAGCCCAAGUGAUGGCCGCUGUUAUUGGGCCUAAAGCGUCCGUAGCUGGCCGCACAAGUCCGUCGGGAAAUCCGCCCGCUCAACGGGCGGCCGUCCGGCGGAACCUGUGUGGCUUGGGACCGGGAGGCCUGAGGGGUACGAUCGGGGUAGGAGUGAAAUCCUGUAAUCCCGCUCGGACCACCGAUGGCGAAAGCACUUCGAGAAAACGGAUCCGACAGUGAGGGACGAAAGCCAGGGUCUCCAACCGGAUUAGAUACCCGGGUAGUCCUGGCCGUAAACAAUGUUCGCUAGGUAUGACACAGACUACGCGUCUCUGUUGUGCCGUAGGGAAGCCG